rnacentral:lncRNA from 1 species
AGAUGGGCAUGUGCAUUCCAGCAAAGGAAUUCACACUUACGUGUGAAGUGUGAGUGAGGAAAUGACAGUAGGUCAGAGUUUGAGGUGAACCAUAACACAUUGCUAUGUCAACCAUUUUAACCUACAGAAAUGGUGGUUUCAUGUGGUUCCACCUCAUCAGUGGUGGUCAGUUACAGAUGACUUUGUAUUAACUUCAGGUUGAACAACGUGUGCUUUCUCUUACGUGGGGUAGAAACAAAUGAAGAAUUUUAAGUAGGACUGCUGCUUUCCUGUCCGCCAUGUGACUUACAAGAUUAGAGGCAAGAUUACAUGCCUUCCUUAAAGUCCCUUCCAUCAGGAUUCUAUGAAUGUUGCUCAUGCUGGCCACAGGGAUUAGUGAGCAUGCAGCAGGCCCAAGAUCACCUUUUACAGAUGGCUUUUGAGGACACCUGCA